UGGACAUUCCUUUUGAGUUCUGUUUCUUCUCCAGUGAAGAUAACACGUUGUGAAUGUCCUAGAGCAUCAGAGUAGUGCUGUGCCCCACCUUUUUAAAGUCAAAAUGGUGGAUCAUUCCACUACUGACAUUU
ensembl:snoRNA